rnacentral:rRNA from 1 species
GACGAACGCUGGCGGCGUGCCUAAUACAUGCAAGUCGAGCGAACUUGCGGGAGCUUGCUCCCAAAAGUUAGCGGCGGACGGGUGAGUAACACGUGGGCAACCUGCCUAUAAGACUGGGAUAACUUCGGGAAACCGGAGCUAAUACCGGAUAAUUCUUUUCUACUCAUGUAGGAAAGCUGAAAGAUGGUUUCGGCUAUCACUUAUAGAUGGGCCCGCGGCGCAUUAGCUAGUUGGGGAGGUAACGGCUCACCAAGGCUACGAUGCGUAGCCGCCCUGAGAGGGUGAUCGGCCACACUGGGACUGGGACACGGCCAAGACUCCUACGGGAGGCAGCAGUAGGGAAUCUUCCGCAAUGGACGAAAGUCUGACGGAGCAACGCCGCGUGGGUGAUGAAGGUUUUCGGAUCGUAAAACUCUGUUGUUAGGGAAGAACAAGUACUAGAGUAACUGCUAGUACCUUGACGGUACCUAACCAGAAAGCCACGGCUAACUACGUGCCAGCAGCCGCUGUAA